GUUCCAAUUUGCUGUAUGUCAGAAGAAUCUACUAGUCUCCAGAAGUCAUUUUUGUUGUCGCUUCCAUCAAGCCGCAACCUUAACCUAGCACCCGUGAUUCCAAUAACUGUGGCUAUACAUACUGAGGUUAUGUAUUCUAAUUUUGGAAAUCCAGCAAAAUCAGAACAUGAAGAACUGUUCACCUUGAGAGGAACUGAAAGACAGCCUGCUUGAGUUGGAAUAUACUUGCUACCUCAUUCCUCUCCAUUAAACCUGACUGAGGGAACUUUUACAAUUUCUUUCUUCUUCAUUUUGAUAUCUGCAUGAGUUAUCCAGAAUUAUACACAUCAUUUUUCUAUAUUGAUAUGUCUGUACUAUCUGUAUGAAAAAGCAAGUUUAUAUUUUCUUCCAUAUAUGUUAAAAGCUGACACUUUGAUACUAACUAGGAAAAAAAUCUAUACAAUAAACUAAGAUACCUUAUGUUGAAAA